rnacentral:rRNA from 1 species
UACGUAGGGUGCGAGCGUUGUCCGGAAUUAUUGGGCGUAAAGAGCUUGUAGGCGGUUUGUCGCGUCUGCUGUGAAAAUCCGGGGCUCAACCCCGGACUUGCAGUGGGUACGGGCAGACUAGAGUGUGGUAGGGGAGACUGGAAUUCCUGGUGUAGCGGUGAAAUGCGCAGAUAUCAGGAGGAACACCGAUGGCGAAGGCAGGUCUCUGGGCCGCUACUGACGCUGAGAAGCGAAAGCAUGGGGAGCGAACAGGAUUAGAUACCCCGGUA